rnacentral:rRNA from 1 species
UACGAAGGGUGCAAGCGUUACUCGGAAUUACUGGGCGUAAAGGGUGCGUAGGUGGUUGUUUAAGUCCGUUGUGAAAGCCCCGGGCUCAACCUGGGAAUGGCAAUGGAUACUGGACAGCUAGAGUGCGGUAGAGGGUAGUGGAAUUCCCGGUGUAGCAGUGAAAUGCGUAGAGAUCGGGAGGAACACCAGUGGCGAAGGCGGCUACCUGGCCUGUUCUUGACGCUGAGGCGCGAAAGCUAGGGGAGCAAACGGG